CAACUCUUCAAUUGGUAAAGAGCAUGUGGAAAUAUAUUGUGAUUGCAAUAAAAAUAUAGGUGAUUGUGAUUUUACUUUCUUGAUCGUGGAGGUUUACAUGUAAAAUAUACCGUCUUCUUUAUUUUCAGGUCUUUAGGUUUGUUCUUCGGUUCAUAGUGAAAGAACCUGGUGAGGAGCCAUGUUCUCAUUACUGUAGUGAAAACUCAUACAGGUUCAAAUACUCACAUAUUGACGUGGAAACUCCUGAAUACGAGUCCCCCAUCAAACGGCAACACAGGUGAGAACAUACAUGCUCGGAAAUGAUGUUAGAAAGUCAUUUGCUGUGAUUGCUUGGUUAUAGCAGAAAGUAACUUCUUAAAGCAAAAAUAGUUAAAUGAGACUGUUCAUUCAGCAAGUAAGUCUAGUCGUUAUACGUCCAAAUACUCAAAACCUUUACAUACUAACUCUGUAUAUAGGGAUUUGAUUCUGUUUGUUGAAUUCCUUCCCAACACUAACUGCUAUAGUCAAUCUUCAUUGAGGUGGUCAAUGAUUAAGAUUCCGCACUAACUGAUUCAGCAUUUUUGGAAUCUCUGGAUCUUUCUGCAAAUUAAUAAUAUCAUAAAGGAUAUUUUGGUUCUGAACAUUAGCUAGAAGGAUGUUGUAUCUGUCAGAAGAAAGAAAACGAUGGACUUACAUGAAUAAUAUUGUGAAAAGUGUUACCAAUUA